rnacentral:rRNA from 1 species
AUGUUGUGGCGGAGAACUCUGUCUGUCAUUGUUAUUCUCUUGGCUCUUUGGUAUAGAAACAAAGAUGGUAGAAAAUUUAGAAGUGGAGGAAGAAAGUAUGGUCCACUAGUUGAGAGAGACAUCUACAAGACUAGUGUCCUGGUUAGGCUAAUUGACACAUCCGAUGCAAUAUGUAUCAAGAAACUGCGGAUGUCUCGAACUGUGUUUUACAAGCUAUGUAUUAGGCUCAGGCAGAAAAAGUUGUUAAUUGAUACACUACAUGUUUCAGUAGAGGAACAAGUAGCAAUGUUCCUAUACAUGAUCAGCCAGCAUCACACAAAUUCAUCCAUUGGACACACACACAAAAAUCACUAG